rnacentral:lncRNA from 1 species
UAAUUUUAUUGGUGUGAGGUCGGGUUAAGCUGCCUCAGUGAAGUGGCCAAAGGCAAGGGUGGCGGAUCACGGCAAGAACAAGUAGUCACAUCUCUCUGCAGAGCAAUCCUAGGAUGAUCAUGGUCUCCUUUCAAAGUGGUGUCUCCAAAUUAUCCAAGGACAUCCUAGAUGGCUGCACCUGCUUAAGGCACACAGUGCUUUUCAAACUUGCCACACCAGGGUCCUUGGUGGGGACAGAAGCAAUCAAACUACCUUCAGCCAUAGUGUCUGAUAAACAUAUAAACCAACAACACAGUGUCGCUUGUUAUUGCUGUCAAGGGUCGUGAGCUGUGCUUAGUCACUGCGUUCAACUUUAGGACUCGUGGUGUGCUACGUUUGUAUUUAACACUGCCACCAAGAACAUGCAUAAAAUUUGCUACAGGAGUAGCAACCAACAACGUCUCUAGGCAACAGAAAAUUUUCAUCUCCAUUACUGGCUUAUGGGACCACCAUCAAAUAUGCAGUUUGUUAGGGUCAAAAUAUUGUGUAGUGUGUGGAUACAUUUGGUUGACGAGAAUGCCCCAAGUCAGAGAUUCCAGGGUGCUAUACAGUCUGUAAGUUUUCUAGCACGAUGUUUAAUUUCCUCCACCCUCUUAGCCUAUGGUCCUUGCUUUCAGUUGCUGGCCACAUCCCCUGGUGGGAUGUGGAUCUUCUUUGCCACAUCAGAGCAGGGAUGACUGACAAGAUUCUCAUCUAACUCCUCCAAUUCCCCAACUCUAGCUUUCUUCAAGGUUCCCAGUCGAAACCCCACCCCACCCCCCACUCCCUGAGUCAGCAUAUAUUUGAUCAUUUCUCCUCUCGGUAUUCUAUAAUAGCUUCUAGCCAGUGAGCAACAGUAAGGCAGGAGAAGAGCAGCAGAUGGUGAGAACAAAGAAACCAGAGAAAAAAGGUAGCAGGGCUUUGGGGAUUGCACUUCAGUUGGUAGGGAGCUUGUCUAGCAGGCAGGAAGACCUGGGUUCGCAGGAAUGGGACACUUAAGCUUACAAUCCCAGUGCUGGGGAGGUGGAGGUAAGAAGAUCAGGGGUUCAAGGUCAUGCUCUACCAACUGAACUGCAAGGCUAAAGGCUACAUGAGACCCUAUCUAGACAACAAGGACGAAAGAAAAAUGUCUCUUUCCUUCACGCGUGUAUCCUUACAGUCUCCUUUUAUAUAUGAUAGCAAUAGUUUUUACUUUCUUUACGUGUAUAUGUCUUCAAUUAUCAUUAUGUAUUUCAAUCUAUGAAGGGCAAUUUGUCAUUAGAAGCUGAAAGUUAGACUUAAAUAAUACUAUUUGAGAGUAACACACGUGUGCAAUUUUUUAUUCUAACGAUGCUAUACCCAUUAAAUUGCCUAACUAGAUUUUAUAAAAAUAACUUCAUUGCUUAAACACAGGAGCAUACAUUUAAGGCUUAGGGGAAAUGGGUUUUGUAGAAAUAAACAAUUCUGAAUACAUUCUGUCCUUCAAAUAAAUAUCUUUUCUCUUUUGUGAAUAAUGUCCUGCUCCCAAGAGCUAAAUUACAUAUGCCUGGAAUCAAAUUUUAGGUUUGUUUUUUCAUUGCACAAUAAAGCUCCAAAUCUGAUC